GAGAAUUACUCGCAAGAAUGCUAUUUAGGACAUCAAAUAUCCUUCAUCUAAGAUGAGUCUGCAGGCUAUAUGCAAAGGGAAAGGAGAACUAGGACUGUCUGGGACAAGUGACACGCCAAGGGAUCUGGUUUUCUGUUAUGCCCUGGACAUCUGGACUGCAGUGAGGGAAGCAGAACAGGAGAUACAACAGAGGGUCCACCAAAGUGGAGAGUCCAGUCUGAGAUCACCCAGGAGCGCUGUGGCCCCAGAGAGCUACAGCAUCAUAGUGGGUCCUGGGACGCUGGUAGCAUAGGGCAUGAGUGCUCUGGGUUCAAGAAAAAAAUCCAAGAACCAAAAAAAAAAACCCCUAAAAACUGCACUUUGUAAAGAAGGUUUUAAAACACAAAGCAAAAUCCUAUUUUCAAAAGUAAGUUUUCUGCUUGGAAGAGUACUUCUUUGUUCAGAAGAAUGAAUGUCAUUUUGGGAAUCCAAGAAACCAGAAUCUGAAGAACUAAGCACAUGGAGCCAUAUGGUGAGGAAGAUUGUGUGACGACAUGAAAGCCUUUUCCAACUUAAAGGAAAUGAGAACUAAACUAGCAGAUUGGUGGAAGAACAAAAGGCAGACAUCGAUGGGCUCUUGGGGAAGGGCCAGGGCCCUUAUCCCCUUGAAUCCUGCCAUGGG
rnacentral:lncRNA from 1 species